ACGUAAUUGAACCUAGCUGAACCAGAAGAAUCACCAGCUACGACCAGCCCAAAUCACCAGCUCACUGAAGUAUGAAAUGAUGUGAUUAUGAUGGAUUGUGCUUCAAAGCAAUUAGAAAGCUUUCAUCAGCUGCAUUUGCAUGGCUGAUUAUACGAAUCUUGUCAACCUUCUGGCCUGCUACAUUGUCGCUGAAAAAAUCUGGGUUUCCUUGGCAACUGGUUUCUCCCCAGGGAGGAAAUGGAAAAGCAUAAUGGUCGUAGGAUUUGUUACAUUUGAGAAAUGGCCAUCACAUGGGUCAGUUUGAAG